rnacentral:rRNA from 1 species
UACGUAGGGGGCAAGCGUUGUCCGGAAUCAUUGGGCGUAAAGCGUGUGUAGGCGGCCAUUUAAGUCUGCUGUGAAAUCUCGAGGCUCAACUUCGAGCUGUCGGUGGAAACUGUCUGGCUAGAGUCCGGAAGAGGAGAAUGGAAUUCCUGGUGUAGCGGUGAAAUGCGCAGAUAUCAGGAAGAACACCCGUGGCGAAAGCGGCUCUCUAGAACGGUACUGACGCUGAGACGCGAAAGCGUGGGGAGCGAACAGG